AUUUGGAGCUUAUAUUCUGAACUAAUCGACCAGUCUCUCAGGUGGAAGGGUUUGAGCAUGAGGACAAAGGUGAUUUUGCAACCUCACCAAAGCAUUUCAGGACUAUAACAACAAAAUGGCGCAAUUACAUCUAUUCAUGGACUUUGACAUAGAAACAAGGCUUUUGAAUUGGUAAUGGGAGGUGACUGCGUGAACAAAGACUUGCCGUUGCCCUUGCUGCUGUUGUGGGACAAAGACAGCGCAGAGAAGGCCAAAUAAAAGGCUCAAUGCGCAGCAGAAAAUCCAGGCACAAACACAUCUAAACAUGUAUAUAUGUGCGUUGCCUUACCAGAUAAUACAACACUGAAAAAAAAAAUUCCAAUUCAAGGCACAUAUUGACAGC